ensembl:lncRNA
AUGAAGUACUUCUCCUGCCUCUUGUGGUUUUCCUGUGACCAACUGCUACAAAAUGAUUCAUCCCCUUCUGUGUCGUCAGAAACGUCAGAAUCUUCUUCUCAACAGAUGCCUUUGGUGUGCUGUCCUAAUGUUGUCCUUCCAUGUAAUUCAAGUACAAGGUCAGUCUCUGAUCUACUGUCUUUAUUGCUGAGUUGUGUCGUCACUGUAUGUUAUUCCAUGAUUAGUCUAUGAUUGGAUUGGGUAAUGUAUAACUGCUUAAAUGGGGGAAAAAAAGGGGGGGGGGGAAGACAGGCAUAUUAUGUGACAUAACAUCUAAGUGUUCAGUAUAACAUGUCUUGGUCUGAAACUGGCAAUGAAACAGCAGUGAUCACAGAAUUUGUUUUGUCAUAAUUUUUGCCUGCUGAUCUCACAUCAGAGUUCAUCUGCCAAAGUGUCAUGGUCUGGGUGAGUGAGAUGUUUUUUCAUAGAGCUGGGGCUCCACCUCUGGAUGGAGUCUCCAUUCAGCAGUCUCACCUGUCUGCAAUCAAGCUACCAGUAUUUAAGACCAGCACAUUCAACAAGUCUUCUCCAGAUCUACAGCUAACCAGUGUUAGUGUUAGGCUACAUUGAAAGUAGUAUUCUCACUUAACCUGUGUCUCUCUGUUCUAGUAACCCACCAGGUCACCACGCUUCACUCUUGAGCAAUACUUACCUUCAUUAAUAAUAAUAAUAAUACAUUUUAUUUGAAAGCGCCUUUCAAAACACUCAAGGUCGCUGUACACAGUAGAGUAAAAAGCAACAUAAAAGCAAUUAGGACGUCGGUCUUGCUGCAGUCACCCAGUCUGGUUACCCUCCAUUCCUCUCUACACAUCACCUGCCUUCCUUCCUGUCACGGCUUCUGGAACUCAUUUGGAUCUGGACUUUGACUCACCCCGGAUUGGAAACUCACCUGGACCUUUUUGGACUGCCCUCCUUCCACAUCGUUCUCCGCCUGCAACGAGUAAGCCAUUAGAAACACUUCCAGCCUUACUUACCAUUAAUCACUGGAACCCAGCUGACUCUCUGCACUCCUUUUGUUGCAGUCACUCUGCACUGCUUCACCCGAGCCACAGCCCUUCCUCCCCUUGGCCCUGUUCAUGGACUUGUAACGCCGUUAUUCCCAUCACUGGUGCUCAGCAGCUUGUAGAAAAAGUUGAGUGUGGAAGAAGUGGCGAGAAGGUGGAGCUGAAAAGCUAAAAGAAGCUAAAAAUACAUGCAACAAAAUGUGUCAAAUUAACUGACUGUUAGGUAGUGCUGCUACACUGUGAACAGCGGUACCAGCAACAACCAGUAACCAGGCCUCAAAGUCACAGGAGGCUGCUGCUAGGGAGAGAAAGAGGAAGGUUAAAUUAAUGUGGUAAGAAAAUAGAAGGAAGAAGAUAAUUAGGGAUUCAGGUAAAAUGAAUGGCUUCUUUGACCAUGAGCCAUUGCUAAUCACUAAAGUAUGGCUUUUAAUUAUUGGCACUUACAGCACUGCAGCUAAGAAAUAACCCAACAUGUCAUGGUUCUGGGUCAUUUUGACCCAGCUUUUUCAGUUUCUUAUAUUUUGGUAUAUUUCUGUAUUAUGAUUUAUGUUCUGGUUCUUUAAGUUGUGCUAUUUUGAUUAUUAUUCUAGGUUUAGUUCAGCGUCAAGUUUGCAUCUUUGUGAUUUGCUUCAUGUUUCCUGUUUUAUUUUGAUAGUCCCAAACCUAUGUCAGUGUAUUCAGUUUUACUUCCCCCUGUCCCAUUAGCCCUAAUUUCUCCCAGCUGUGUCUCCCUCCUGUUUCCCAUUAAAUGAUUAGGCCUCUGUGUAUAUAAGCCCUGUGUGUUCCUUUGUUCUCUGUUGCGUCGUUAAUG